GUGCUCACUUUGGCAGCACAUAUACCAAAAUUGGAACAAUACAGAGAAGAUAAGCAUGGCCCCUGUACAAGGAUGACAUGCAAAUUCAUAAGGAAUUCCAUAUUUUU
ensembl:snRNA U6 U6 spliceosomal RNA